rnacentral:rRNA from 1 species
AUUGAACGCUGGCGGCAUGCCUUACACAUGCAAGUCGAACGGUAACAGGUCUUCGGAUGCUGACGAGUGCCGAACGGGUGAGUAAUACAUCGGAACGUGCCUAGUAGUGGGGGAUAACUACUCGAAAGAGUGGCUAAUACCGCAUGAGAUCUACGGAUGAAAGCAGGGGAUCGCAAGACCUUGUGCUACUAGAGCGGCCGAUGGCAGAUUAGGUAGUUGGUGGGAUAAAAGCUUACCAAGCCGACGAUCUGUAGCUGGUCUGAGAGGACGAUCAGCCACACUGGGACUGAGACACGGCCCAGACUCCUACGGGAGGCAGCAGUGGGGAAUUUUGGACAAUGGGCGCAAGCCUGAUCCAGCAAUGCCGCGUGCAGGAUGAAGGCCUUCGGGUUGUAAACUGCUUUUGUACGGAACGAAAAGCCCUGGGUUAAUACCCUGGGGUCAUGACGGUACCGUAAGAAUAAGCACCGGCUAACUACGUGCCAGCCGCCGCAGUAAGAC